GCACAUGUUGACUUAGUAGGUCAGAGCGCUUAGACGGUUUCCAAGAGGCGCGGGUUCAAAUCCUGCUAUGUUCA
rnacentral:tRNA from 1 species